rnacentral:rRNA from 1 species
UACGUAGGGGGCAAGCGUUGUCCGGAAUCAUUGGGCGUAAAGCGCGUGUAGGCGGUCCGGUAAGUCCGCUGUGAAAGUCGGGGGCUCAACCCUCGGAUGCCGGUGGAUACUGUCGGGCUUGAGUACGGAAGAGGCGAGUGGAAUUCCUGGUGUAGCGGUGAAAUGCGCAGAUAUCAGGAGGAACACCAAUUGCGAAGGCAGCUCGCUGGGACGUUACUGACGCUGAGGCGCGACAGCGUGGGGAGCAAACAGG